rnacentral:rRNA from 1 species
GACGGUAGGGCGCGAGCGUUGUCCGGAUUUAUUGGGCGUAAAGAGCUCGUAGGCGGUCUGUCGCGUCGGCUGUGAAAUCCCGAGGCUCAACCUCGGGUCUGCAGUCGAUACGGGCAAACUAGAGUAUUGCAGGGGAGACUGGAAUUCCUGGUGUAGCGGUGAAAUGCGCAGAUAUCAGGAGGAACACCGGUGGCGAAGGCGGGUCUCUGGGCAAUAACUGACGCUGAGGAGCGAAAGCGUGGGGAGCGAACAGG